GCAGGCGCGAAACCUUUACGCUGCACGACAGUGCGAUAGGGGGAUCCCAAGUGCACAGGCAUAGCGCCUGUGCUUUUCGGUACCCUAAGGCGGUACCAGAAUAAGGGCUGGGCAAGACCGGUGCCAGCCGCCGCGGUAAUACCGGCAGCCCAAGUGAUGGCCGAUCUUAUUGGGCCUAAAGCGUCCGUAGCUGGCCGUACAAGUCCAUCGGGAAAUCCACCUGCUCAACAGGUGGGCGCCCGGUAGAAACUGUGCGGCUUGGGACCGGAAGGCGCGACGGGUACGUCCGGGGUAGGAGUGAAAUCCCGUAAUCCUGGACGGACCGCCGAUGGCGAAAGCACGUCGCGAGAACGGAUCCGACAGUGAGGGACGAAAGCCAGGGUCUCGAACCGGAUUAGAUACCCGGGUAGUCCUGGCCGUAAACAAUGUCUGCUAGGUGUGGCUCCCACUACGAGUGGGUGCUGUGCCGUAGGGAAGCCGCUAAGCAGACCGCCUGGGAAGUACGUCCGCAAGGAUGAAACUUAAAGGAAUUGGCGGGGGAGCACUACAACCGGAGGAGCCUGCGGUUUAAUUGGAGUCAACGCCGG
rnacentral:rRNA from 1 species